rnacentral:lncRNA from 1 species
GCCUCAUGUUAGAAAUGAAAAAAAAAAAAAAACUAAAACAAAAGAUUGUCUUAAUAUAAAAUUGUUUUCACGGAAAGUGUCUAGCAAGGCUCAAGUUCUCUUCACUCUCUGGUGUCGCCCCUGCAUGUUUUUCGUGAUCCAUGUUUCUAUUUUACUUUUAGUUUUCAAAGUUGAUGGUCUAUUGUUUGUACUUCUGUGUCCCGGGUUUGUCUUUUGUUCAUUUAUUGUCCUACUUUAUGACUAUAGUCUGAAGUGUUGAUUUUCAUUUGUAAACGUGUGGUUUUGCAAUGUUGCAUGCCCACCGAUGUCCAGAUAUUGUGCGAGAAAAUAUUUUAAGAAUAGACGAUGCUACAAGACACAGAAAACAAUUGUCGUUUCUGAAUGGAGAAUUGAACUUGAUAUCAAAGAACACAAAGCUUUUUUUUGUAGAUAAAACUAGAUAGCUGACAUGGUUUAUAUUAAAGUAAGGUCACCAAUUUCCCGAUAUCAAAUAACUUGAAGAAAAGAAAAAAACAAUAAUGUACUGUCAUAUGCCCUUUAGGAACAUUGAAGGAUUAAACUUGCAUGAAGUCAUGUUCAGACCCUUUAACAGAAAAUUAAGGAAUAUGGAGUAAAUGUGCACGAAACCUAAUCACACACAAAGUCAAUGCAUAGAAAAAAUACUAAUGAUCAAUGGUCAAAGUUGCUGGAGGGUUCUUCAACAAUAAAAGAAUCAUUAAUACCAAGAUGGUCCGUAGUGUCGAAUUAAGCAGUACUAGUACUUAAAGUAAAAUACUGCCGCGUGACUCACUAUAUUUAAAUCUAGUCAUAAAAAAAAUCACCAAGGUAUAAGCACAAUACAAGACCAGAACAGACAGACAGAUCCGGUAUUAAUAAUUAUGAGAAGUACGAUUUUUGCUUUAACCUACAUAUCGGUCUUUUAAUGUUGUCCAUAAAACGUAAAAGUCUUAAAUUAUAAUGAAUCUAUGUUUUUGCUUUGAGACCAGAAUUUUGUGGAGAAAAAAUAGCUAAAAAUUUAUUGCGUUUCAAUGUCAGAGUCCGGGAAACGCUCAGAAUGCACGAUUUUGCGUUAUUUUUCCAGAGCUUCUGGGGGCCUUGAGCGGCCCCAGACUCCUCGCCAAAUUUUUUUCGCCUCGCUCCGCUCGGCAUAUCUUUU